AUUGAACGCUGGCGGCAGGCCUAACACAUGCAAGUCGAGCGGGACGGCCGACGGGUGGGUGAGGACUAUAAAUCUGCCUGGUAGUGGGGGGGAGAGUACGGAAACGGACGGUAAUAACUCCUACUCUCAGAUGGACCUAGGUGGGAUUAGCUAGUUGGUGGGGUAGGGGACUACCAAGGCGACGAUCCGUAACUGGUCUGAGAGGAUGAUCAGUCACACUGGAACUGAGACACGGUCCAGACUCCUACGGGAGGCAGCAGUGGGGAAUAUUGGACAAUGGGCGAAAGCCUGAUCCAGCCAUGCCGCGUGUGUGAAGAAGGUCUUCGGAUUGUAAAGCACUUUAAGUUGGGAGGCGUUACCAACAGAAUAAGCACCGGCUAACUCCGUGCCAGCAGCCGCGGUAAUAC
rnacentral:rRNA from 1 species